UACAGAGGUCUCAAGCGUUGUUCGGAUUCAUUGGGCGUAAAGGGCGCGUAGGCGGCGGGGUAAGUCGGGUGUGAAAUCUCAGAGCUCAACUCUGAAACUGCACUCGAUACUGCUUUGCUAGAGGACUGGAGAGGAGAUUGGAAUUCACGGUGUAGCAGUGAAAUGCGUAGAGAUCGUGAGGAAGACCAGUGGCGAAGGCGGAUCUCUGGACAGUUCCUGACGCUGAGGAGCGAAAGCGUGGGGAGCAAACAGG
rnacentral:rRNA from 1 species